rnacentral:rRNA from 1 species
CUUAGUAGCGGCGAGCGAACAGGGAAGAGCCCAGCACCGAACCUCGGCGCUUGUUGACGGGUGCAGAGGAAUGUGGUGUUAGGGAGGGACCGUGCGCGUCUGUCCGGUAUUUAUCGUCCAAGUCUCCAUGAACGGGGCGAUCAACCCAAAGAGGGUGUCAGGCCCGUAGGCUGACGAGCCGCGACCGUGUAUCGGGUCCCUUCCCAAGAGUCGGGUUGCUUGAGCGUGCAGCCCUAAGCGGGAGGUAAACUCCUUCUAAGGCUAAAUAUCGCCACGAGACCGAUAGCGAACAAGUACCGCGAGGGAAAGUUGAAAAGAACUUUGAAGAGAGAGUUCAAUAGUGCGUGAAACCGUUCAGGGGGUUAAACGGGUGAGCCCUCGAAGGUCGAACAGUGUCCCCGCUCCCGUUGUGCAGUCGUCUGGCCUGUGUGUUCGCCGAUCUCUUUACGGGGACGGUGGCUCGCGGUGCUUAUAGGCGGCUGCCGGCUGCAAGUGGGGGACCUAGUAGGACUCCGCGACCGACUGGGUGUGCUGUUAUAAGGGACUUGGAUUUCUCGGUGUCGAGAGUUGCGGCUUGCCGUUUCUUUCUUCCCCGCGUGCCGAGUUUCCGAGCAGUCCUGCCCGGUCGUGACCUGUCAGUCUGCCCGUGCUCCUUUAUUGAAGCAACGUCGGUGGACCCAGAGCGGAGAGUAGAAGUCGGGUCUCACCCGACCCGUCUUGAAACACGGACCAAGGAGUCUAACAUGUGCGCGAGUCGUCGAGUCACAAUCGAAACUCGUGAGGCGUAAUGAAAGUGAAACAGCCCUGAUGAAGGUGUUCUGUGAGGGAAGAUCUCGUCUUUUUUUCAAACCGAAGCGAGCGCAUUCCCGGGGCGUUCGAAGCCGCGACUUAGUCGGCCGGACGAACCCAGAGCGUACACGUUGGGACCCGAAAGAUGGUGACCUAUGCCUGGCCAGGACGAAGCCAGGGGGAAA